UCAGAUUGAACGCUGGCGGCGUGCUUAACACAUGCAAGUCGCGCGUGAAAGGACUUCGGUCCGAGUAAAGCGGCGCACGGGUGAGUAACGCGUGGAUGAUCUACCCAUGAGUUAGGAAUAACGGCUGGAAACGGUCGCUAAUACCAAAUACGCUCCGAUUUCAACUUCGGGGGAAAGGUGGCCUCUGCUUGCAAGCUACUGCUCAUGGAUGAGUCCGCGUCCCAUUAGCUAGUUGGUGGGGUAACGGCCCACCAAGGCGACGAUGGGUAGCCGGUCUGAGAGGAUGACCGGCCACACUGGGACUGGAACACGGCCCAGACUCCUACGGGAGGCAGCAGUGGGGAAUAUUGCGCAAUGGGCGAAAGCCUGACGCAGCGACGCCGCGUGAGGGAUGAAAGGUCCUCGGAUCGUAAACCUCUGUCAGGAGGGAAGAACCGCCACGGUGCUAAUCAGCCGUGGUCUGACGGUACCUCCAAAGGAAGCACCGGCUAACUCCGUGCCAGCAGCUGC
rnacentral:rRNA from 1 species